rnacentral:rRNA from 1 species
GACGAACGCUGGCGGCGUGCUUAACACAUGCAAGUCGAACGGAAAGGCCCUGCUUUUGUGGGGUGCUCGAGUGGCGAACGGGUGAGUAACACGUGAGUAACCUGCCCUUGACUUUGGUAUAACUUCAGGAAACUGGGGCUAAUACCGGAUAGGAUCUCCUGCUGCAUUGUGGGGGUUGGAACGUUUCGGCGGUUGGGGAUGGACUCGCGGCUUAUCAGCUUGUUGGUGGGGUAGUGGCUUACCCAGGGAUUGACGGGUAGCCGGCCUGAGAGGGUGACCGGCGACAUGGGGACUGAGAGACGGCCCAGAGUGGAACGGGAGGCAGCAGGGGGGAACAUGGUACAAUGGGCGGAAGCCGGAGGAAGAAACGCCGGGGGCGGGAUGACGGUCUGCGGGUUGAAAAAAGCUGUCGCCUGUGACGAAGCGGGAGUGACGGUAAUGGGUAAAGAAGCACCGGCUAACUACGUG